rnacentral:rRNA from 1 species
GAUGAACGCUGGCGGCGUGCCUAAUACAUGCAAGUCGAGCGAACAGACGAGGAGCUUGCUCCUCUGACGUUAGCGGCGGACGGGUGAGUAACACGUGGAUAACCUACCUAUAAGACUGGGAUAACUUCGGGAAACCGGAGCUAAUACCGGAUAAUAUAUUGAACCGCAUGGUUCAAUAGUGAAAGACGGUUUUGCUGUCACUUAUAGAUGGAUCCGCGCCGCAUUAGCUGGUUGGUAAGGUAACGGCUUACCAAGGCAACGAUGCGUAGCCGACCUGAGAGGGUGAUCGGCCACACUGGAACUGAGACACGGUCCAGACUCCUACGGGAGGCAGCAGUAGGGAAUCGUCCGCAAUGGGCGAAAGCCUGACGGAGCAACGCCGCGUGAGUGAUGAAGGUCUUCGGAUCGUAAAACUCUGUUAUUAGGGAAGAACAAAUGUGUAAGUAACUAUGCACGUCUUGACGGUACCUAAUCAGAAAGCCACGGCUAACUACGUG